rnacentral:rRNA from 1 species
GCUGACCACAGUAGGGCGGGCGUGGUAAGUCGUAGAGCGGAAGGGUUAAGCGGACUGUCUGGUCGUGAGGCGUGAGCAGGCCGUGAUGGAGGACCGAUGAUACAGCCCCGGGCGUAACCUGGGAAAUGCAUUGGUGACUGCAUCGCUGGAGUAAGGCAGAGGGGGGUAGAAGUCCACGUGUAGCAGUGAAAUGCGUAGAGAUGUGGAGGAAUACCGAUGGCGAAGGCAGCGCCCUGGGCCAAUACUGACGGUCAUGCACGAAAGCGUGGGGAGCAAACAGGAUUAGAUACCCGUGUAGUC